rnacentral:tRNA from 1 species
CAACUUUCUAGGACAGUAAAGAAUCUGCCUGCAAUGCAGAAGACCCAGGUUUGAUCCCUGGGUUG